rnacentral:rRNA from 1 species
UACGAAGGGGGCUAGCGUUGUUCGGAUUUACUGGGCGUAAAGGCGCACGUAGGCGGCCAAGCAGGUCCGUUGUGAAACUGGAGGCUUAACCUCCAGACGUCGACGGAAACCGCGUGGCUAGAGUCCGGAAGAGGAGAGUGGAAUUCCUGGUGUAGCGGUGAAAUGCGCAGAUAUCAGGAGGAACACCCGUGGCGAAAGCGGCUCUCUGGGACGGGUACUGGACGCUGAGACGCGAAAGCGUGGGGAGCAAACAGG